CCUGCGCCCCUUGCAACAGGUGCCCCGGUCGCGACGCGUCCACGGGGUGAAACAGGGAAGCCGGUACAUUCGCUCGCGAAGAAUCCGGCGCUGCCCCCGCAACGGUAGGUGAGUCAAGGAUCGCAUCCAGCCACUGUGUCAUUCGGCACGGGAAGGCGCGGUCGGGGAGCCAAAGGCUCCGCUCACAAGCCCGGAGACCGGCCUGAAGCGAUCCACGGCAU
rnacentral:ncRNA from 1 species